rnacentral:lncRNA from 1 species
UGAUGGUCCAGCUACAGACUCCUCCAGGCGGGUGGUGCCACGGACAGAAGUCCUCGAGUCUGUGUGACCCUAGCCCAACUUCCAGAUGCUGCGGGUUUAGAAAUCUUGCCUCCGUGCCUUGGACGUCACAAACUGAAUGGUGACUUUUUCUUGUCUCUCAGUGUACUUACUAUAACGAUCCUCAUCCUCUGCAAGCCAGGAGGAAGAAAUUCACAGGCAGCUACAGCUCUACGUACCUGACCACAACCUGCCCCGCCUCAUCUUCACCAGGAUCACAGAGUCUUUUCUCCGGAUGGGAAAACUGAAGCUCGGAGAGGAUCAAGACACAAGCGGAAGGCAGGGCAGGGCUGACUGCCUACGUCAGGUGUCUUGGCUCUCUGCGUUCGGAGUUUGGCCCCCAGCAGGAAGCCCUUGGACAUAGUUCUCUGUGCACGUGGCGGGUGGACCAACACUGUGCGGAGAGGGAGCAGACGAGAGAUGAGUGCUAGAUUUGUACUGGGCCCUAGAACUCUCCACCAGGCAUUAUGGGGAUUUGCCCAGCGGCCCAUGCUGUUUGUGCCACAUCCACU